GGUUCACUAUUGAAAUUUGAGACCAGUGUUGUCACUAACACUUUGAUAACACAUUUAUUCGCCAUUUUCUUAUCACCAUGUAGUUAGAUAGUCCUCCCGCACCUUCCUCCAUGUCCCGCACUGUGCGCACGUCGUUGACUUCUAUUUGUUGGCGCUGCCGCCGCCAGUUGCAAAACCAGUGUGGGGCGGUCACGCCUCCGCACGCCACAGUCAGCCACACUGCCAUCGGCGCACAUGUCGAAGGGUUGGUUUCGGUUUGUUGAAGUUGACAAGUGAAGAUCUAGACAUUUACCUUGGGUGGCUCCUCUUGCAAGAGGUACUUGGACGCUGCAUGGAAGAAAACUUAAAAAAUACAAAUUCUGCUCAGACUACUUCAAAAUCGACCUGUUCGACGUGUUCGACCUAUUUACUGUCGUGGAAUUCAGCAGCUGAUCGUGCAUCUUCCACCAAGCGGAGAUAGAAGGGAGGCUGUUUUCGUGUACCCCCUGAGUGUCAGCUCCAGUUGCUGGUCCUCUUCAGCUGCUGAUCAGCUCCUCAUAUGCAACGAUCAGCUGAUUGCCUUCAAAAUCAGCACAGCAGGAGUUGAAAUUUGAGAACACUUUCACUCAGCAACCCUGGAGCAUCACGUCAUCUGAGCUUGCAUAAGUGGAGUGCCCUGCGUGUCGGUGCCACGCAUUGUGACAACAGGACCUAAGGACAGGUGUUUGUACUGCAGCACUGGACAACAGUUGCCAUGUGGGGAUGUCAUCAGCAGUGAGCAGACAGGCAGCGUUUGAGGAAGUGGCAUCAGAAGGUCAUGUGAAACUUGAUGUCCUCCCAUCAGGGUGAGAACAUCACCAACUGAAAGCCUAUGGCACAGUGGAGCAGCCAUUACGAAGACCAUCUCCCGUGGCAUAGUGGUUAGGAUGAUCGCUUUCCACACCGAGGCUAGGAGGUGGCACGGGUUCGAAUCCCUGCACCAGCCAUGCUGUCUGAGGUUUUCUCCGGGUUUUCCGGCAGACUUUCCAGACGAAUGUCAGCACAGUUCCCCCUGAAGUUGGCCCAGGAUGCAUACUAAUCCCCCUGUACCCCACUCCCUCCUGCUGUCCUCUCUCCACCUGCCCGCGUCUGUAUGCUACUCAUAGCCACAGUUGCUUCAUGGUUCUAAAAUGCAAUAAAAAAAGAAAACUUACGAGACAAAGCUUCCCUCUCCCUUAUGAUCUGGUCACGCAAUUUGCCACCAAUGAUAAUAGAUGCUUAAGGUAUUUCAGCAUCUGUAGAAAAGCUUCUAAAUAUUUGCUAGCCAGUAGCCACUGAAAUAGAUAACACGAGUUUGAAACUACCAAAUAAGUGAGAGAACUGAUGAACCUUUUCAGUGACUUCCACCUUUAUCGUUCAUUACCAAAUAAGUAUUCUGGUCUUAUCCUGAGUUACCUUCGCCAGGGUUUCUUGGCUCAGUGUGUUUUGCAUUCGACUAGUUUCAUGUGUUAUUCUCAGAUGCAAAAUGCCUAAA